GACGAACGCUGGCGGCGUGCUUAACACAUGCAAGUCGAACGAAGUGGCGAACGGGUGAGUAAUACGUGGGUAACCUGACCUCCUUUUUGGGAUAAGCCUUGGAAACGGGGUCUAAUACCGAAUAAAGGGGGAUGGGCUCGCUGCCUAUCAGCUUGUUGGUGGGGUGAUGGCCUACCAAGGCGGUGACGGGUAGCCGGCCGGAGAGGGUGACCGGCCACAUAGGGACUGAGCUGCGGCCCCGACUCCUACGGGGUGGAGCAUUUGGGGAUAUUGCACAAUGGUCGAAAGCCUGAUGCAGCGACGCCGCGGGGGGGAUUAAGGCUUUCGGGUUGUAAACCUCUUGCGCUAUAGAACGGGUAGGUGGACAAGAAGCGCCGGCUAACUACGUGCCAGCAGCCGCGGUAAUUC
rnacentral:rRNA from 1 species